GCCACUUCCUGGUUGGAGGCCAAUGUCCCGGGCAGUAAAGCUGGGAAGAGGAGGAGGAGGAGGAGGAGGAAGGAGGAGAAGUAGAGCGAGGCCCCUGAAGGAGCCGAGGACAUGUCUACCUCUGAGAGAUCUUGGACGAGAUACCUUGGUUUAAUACCUGUCUGGGAUUAUAUGCAAAGAGUUUACCAGUCAUGAGUUAAAGAAAGAUGUUCAUUCUCAACUUGAUCAGAGUGAUGGCAUUUGUGGUUCUUCACACAACUGUUCUGUGGGACAAGUUGGGCAGAAAGAUAGUACCUGCCCCAACAUCAUACAGUGAAGUUUGUGCCUGUUAUAUUCUCUUUAAGAGCUCUAGUCUUAAUUUGUUUGUCACAGUAUGGCAUACUAGAUAACGUACAUUUAUCUGUUCACAUGUGUGUUUUGGUUAUAAGUUGACUUUUUUUAAAAAACACUAAUUCUUGGAGCAUUAAAACAAUGUACAAAACCUGCCUUCUAUUCAUGUUCAGGACUGGUUUGGGAUUGAAUGCUCCAGAACACAUGCCUCUUAAGGUUCAAUUGUGUGGCUCAUAGUCUCUUACUAGAUGUCUGACAAGCUUAAAUACAUAGCAGGAGAAAUAGGGUUCCAGCACUCAGAGCUAUACAGAGUUUUCAAAACAAAGCAGAAAAGCAGGCAUGUUUUCAGCGGAACCCAGUUUCCAUUAUGGGUUCUAUGUUUUCAUGUCAAAAAGUAUCAAGUGUUUGGCUAAAUUCUUAAUGCACUACAGUAAUAGUUCCACAACCAAAGAAUAUAAUUCAGACCAGUCUUAGGAAUGUGAUCUUACUCACCUGCCCUUUCUUACCAUGUGCUUCAGAAGUAAAAACCUACAACUGAAUGUUCCUAGCUAGUAAAAGGCAAUGCACCUCUUUCUUUACUACUUGAAGAGGCAAAAAGUGCAUGUAUAUGUGCAUUUUCAUGAGAACCGCCUAGGCCUUUCUGUUUUGGGAUAGUACAGCAAAGGCAAAACCCCUUCUGAACAAAUCUUGCUAAGAACACCCCAUAAAUUGGAAAUGACUUGUAGGCACACAACAACAACAGCAACAGAUACAAUAAAACUAUUUUCAUCCUCUCUGGAUUAUUUGGAAUAUAGCUGAAGAAUGUAACUGGCCAGCUGUGAAAGGUUGUCACACUGAAGCAGAAUGGUUUUCUGUUUUUCCAGAAGACAGAACUAGAAUCAACAUGUGGAAAAUUCAGGGUAGCAAAUUUUGGCUAAACAUUAGGAAAAAACUUCUACCUAUUGAAAAUGCUUGGCAGUGCAGCAGUCAGAAGGUGAUGGGAUCCC